rnacentral:rRNA from 1 species
UACGUAGGCAGCAAGCGUUGUUCGGAAUUACUGGCGUAAAGAGUGUGUAGGCGGUGCUCCAAGUCUGGUGUGAAAUCUCCCGGCUUAACUGGGAGGUGCAUUAGAACUGGAAUGCUAGAGGAUGGGAGAGGUAAGCGGAAUUCCUGGUGUAGCGGUGAAAUGCGUAGAUAUCAGGAGGAACACCUGUGGUGUAGACAGCUUACUGGACCAUUUCUGACGCUGAGACACGAAAGCGUGGGUAGCAAACAGG